CUCCAAUAGCGUAUAUUAAAGUUGUUGCAGUUAAAAAGCUCGUAGUUGGAUUUCGGGGCCCCGGGCGUUUGUUACGUUCCUGCUGGACUUGUCCUGUGGGGCGUGGCGGGCGUCGGUCUCUGAGUCGGAUCGGUCCGCCGAGAGGCGUGUACUGACCGACGGCCCCUGUUGUCUCUCGGGUUGCCCGCCUGCACUUAACUGUUGCGGACGGGGAGUUCGGGACGUUUACUUUGAACAAAUUAGAGUGUUCCAAGCAGGCCGAUUGCUUUGAAUACAUUAGCAUGGAAUAAUGGAAUAGGGCUGCGUGAUUCGUUGCCUUCGGGUGGCGGGUCCUCGUGUCCUAUUUUGUUGGUUUUCGGGACCGCAGUCAUGGUCAAGAGGGACAGUUGGGGGCAUUCGUAUUCAGUUGUCAGAGGUGAAAUUCUUGGAUUUACGGAAGACGAACAACUGCGAAAGCAUUUGCCAAGGAUGUUUUCAUUAAUCAAGAACGAAAGUUGGGGGUUCGAAGACGAUCAGAUACCGUCGUAGUCCCAACCAUAAACCAUGCCGGCUAGGGAUCGGCGGACGUCGGUAGCGACUCCGUCGGCACCUCUCGAGAAAUCCAAGCCUUUGGGUUCCGGGGGGAGUAUGGUCGCAAGGCUGAAA
rnacentral:rRNA from 1 species